rnacentral:rRNA from 1 species
UGAGGAAUAUUGGUCAAUGGACGCAAGUCUGAACCAGCCAUGCCGCGUGCAGGAAGACGGCUCUAUGAGUUGUAAACUGCUUUUGUACGAGGGUAAAUCCCGAUACGUGUAUCGGGUUGAAAGUAUCGUACGAAUAAGGAUCGGCUAACUCCGUG